GCCUCCAGGUCUUGCCCUGAGUCCCACUCCGUGGUGUCAGCCCCGUGGCCAAAGUUUCCCCAGCCGAGGAGGCUAUCGCCGUGACAACGGCAGGGUCAACGGAAAUCCAGUCGUGAGCUGAGGUCCAGGAGGAAAAAACGAGGUUAUGCUACCCAGACCUGCCUCCUGAUCCAGGCUUGGUCCAAGAUGGUCUUUCAGGGGUCCCUGGUUUGGUCCAGUUCCUGUCCUGCCUGCCCCUCGACACCCUCUCUCUGCCAACCCCUCGCCGUCUACCGAUGCUGUUCUUCCCUCGGCUGCCGCAGACGAGUGGAGCUUCUACAGACCCAGACAGGACUCCAAAGGCCCCCCUGGCCGUGACCCUUCUGCGGCACCCCGGAGCCCAUCAGAGGCCCUGAACUGUUCACUUUACCUCCCAUGCUACCUAGUGUCUUGCCCCUCCUAAUACCUCAGUCUUUGGUCUGUAGUCUUGCUUCCCCGUGGCUCUCCCUGGUUUCACCUCUUAGCCCGAUUUCACUGUUCCAGCCCCCACUCCAGUCACUCUUGCUUCCCGCUUUAGGUUCCCCUCUCUUGGCCAUAUUAUUGUUGCACUGGUUCCGUUGCUUGCCUGUCUUGUCUGGUUGUGUCCUGCCUUGUCUGUCCCUGUGCCAUCUUUGGUCCUUUUGAUGCCCAAUCCCUCCCUUUUGUCUCCUUCUACUGUGUCCUUUGUUCCCACUUACCCACUGACACCCACUGUCUGUCUUUUGGUCCAUAGUCAGCAUCCCUGUUGGAUUACCUGGCCUGUCAUGAUUUGUGUCCUGGGGGUUAGUCUCCCCUGUUGUCCUUGGUUUUGCCCUGGUCUGUGUGUCCCCUCAAUGAUGCCCUUGUACCCGGAGGGCACAGGAUUGGGAGGGGGGCGUUUACUGUCAUGUCUUGCCCAUUUAGUCAACCUUACCCUCCAGUUCUCCUCCCUGAUGAGCCACGCUUGGUGUCUAUUAGUCUCAUCCCAUGUUCCUCCCCUUCUGUCAGUCACUAUCAGCUUCCUUGUGUUUUCCCAUUCCUUAGUCUGGUAAAGUGCCCAGUCCUAUCUUCUCCAGUUGUGUCCUUGUCUGUUUGCGUCUCUGUGCCCAAACCUGCCUGUCAAUAAAACUCCCCACGAAGGGGAUUCUGCCCUA